rnacentral:rRNA from 1 species
CAGCCGUAAACUAUGCGCGUUAGGUGUACUGGUGACCACGCGUUACUGAUGCGCCGAAGAGAAAUCGUGAAACGCACCACCUGGGAAGUACGGUCGCAAGGCUGAAACUUAAAGGAAUUGGCGGGGGAGCACCACAACAGGUGGAGCCUGCGGUUUAAUUGGAUUCAACGCCGGACAUCUCACCGGAUAAGACAGCUGAAUGAUUGUCAAUCUGAAGGUUUUACAUGACUAGCUGAGAGGAGGUGCAUGGCGUCAGUGACU